AACCAAUAAUGAGGACAUAUUUGCAAAAGGUCCUUAUAUCUCUCCCAUGCAUCGUAGAGUGUUUCUAAAUCCAUCUGCAUAAAAGAAGAGAUAUUAUUACGUAAUUU
rnacentral:snoRNA from 1 species